UUGAUGUAAUCAAGUAUAGCCAGGUAUUCACAAUGAAUUUUUAGUUGCGCAGUCUUCUUGCAGUGUUACUGCUUUUUGGUGCAUUCAACAUAGCCGUUCAAAAUUAAGGAACCGUUCUACGUUUUUUGUGACAUUUACAGCAAGAUGAGGGCGGUCCUUGUUUUUCUUUUCAGUCUUCUCGUAUUUGCAGUUAUUACAGAGGCCCUUCCGAAGAAGUAUUUUCAUAGACAUGGCAAGCAUGUCCAUAUUUGGGACCUGGAUGACCCAACCUCAAGCCGACGUUCAAAGUCCGGUUCGCGGCCGCUCAACGAAAAAUCCGACCAUGUUGUGAAAAAGAUUGGGCAACUCCUGAACAAGCAAAUUAAGCAUGAAGUAAAAGAAGAAAUAUAUGACAAAGUAAAGGAACAAAUCAUCGAGCCUGUUGAUGAAAUUCUAGCUUAAUUGUUUUUUACCGGUAACCAUGAAGUGCAUUACAUUUAUAUACGCUAAAAUCGCUUUGUAUAAGCACAUUGAUAUCACCAAAUACCUAGGUCCAAUUACUUUGUACAGACUGUUAAAGCUGAUUUAUGUCCAGGACAAGUGUUUUACUGAAGGAAAUACUUGAAAAUGUAAUUUGACCGAGUAAUGCAACUUACAUGUAAAAGGAAACUAUGAAUACAGAUCUGAGAGAUGCA
rnacentral:lncRNA from 1 species